rnacentral:misc_RNA from 1 species
UACGGAGGGUGCUAGCGUUGUUCGGAAUUACUGGGCGUAAAGAGUACGUAGGCGGUUUAGCAAGUUGGAAGUGAAAUCCCGGGGCUCAACCUCGGAAUUGCUUUCAAAACUGUUAGACUGGAGUAUGGUAGGGGAUAGUGGAAUUCCUAGUGUAGGGGUGAAAUCCGUAGAUAUUAGGAGGAACACCAGAGGCGAAGGCGACUAUCUGGGCCAUUACUGACGCUAAGGUACGAAAGCGUGGGGAGCGAACAGG